rnacentral:rRNA from 1 species
GCGGUGAAAUGCGUAGAUAUUAGGAAGAACACCAGUGGCGAAGGCGACUUUCUGGACGAAAACUGACGCUGGGGCGCGAAAGCCAGGGGAGCGAACGGGAUUAGAUACCCCGGUAGUCCCGGCCGUAAACGAUGGGUACUAGGUGUAGGAGGUAUCGACCCCUUCUGUGCCGGAGUUAACGCAAUAAGUACCCCGCCUGGGGAGUACGACCGCAAGGUUGAAACUCAAAGGAAUUGACGGGGGCCCGCACAAGCGGUGGAGUAUGUGGUUUAAUUCGACGCAACGCGAAGAACCUUACCAGGUCUUGACAUUGAUGGACAGAACCAGAGAUGGUUCCUCUUCUUCGGAAGCCAGAAAACAGGUGGUGCACGGUUGUCGUCAGCUCGUGUCGUGAGAUGUUGGGUUAAGUCCCGCAACGAGCGCAACCCCUAUCUUAUGUUGCCAGCACUUUGGGUGGGGACUCAUGAGAGACUGCCGCAGACAAUGCGGAGGAAGGCGGGGAUGACGUCAAAUCAUCAUGCCCCUUAUGACCUGGGCUACACACGUACUACAAUGGGAGUUAAUAGACGGAAGCGAGAUCGCGAGAUGGAGCAAACCCGAGAAACACUCUCUCAGUUCGGAUCGUAGGCUGCAACUCGCCUACGUGAAGUCGGAAUCGCUAGUAAUCGCAGGUCAGCAUACUGCGGUGAAUACGUUCCCGGGCCUUGUACACACCGCCCGUCACACCACGAAAGUCGGAAGUGCCCAAAGCCGGUGGGGUAACCUUCGGGAGCCAGCCGUCUAAGGUAAAGU